GACGAACGCUGGCGGCGUGCCUAAUACAUGCAACUAGAACGAGUUGCGAACGGGUGAGUAACGCGUAGGUCACUGCCUCAUAGCAGGGGAUAACUAUUGGAAACGAUAGCUUAUACCUCCUACUGUAACAUGGACCUGCGUUGUAUUAGCUAGUUGGUGAGGUAAAGGCUCACAAGGGCGACGAUAGAGAGCCGACCGGAGAGGGAGAGUGGCCAACCAUGGACUGAGAACCGGCCCAGAGUACAACGGGAGGCAGCGUGAGGGAAUCUUCGGAAAUGGACGGAAGUCUGACCUAGGAACGCGUCGGGAGUGAAGAAGGUGUUCAGAACGUAAAGCUCUGUUGUUAGAGAAGCGGUAAUUAACCAGAAGGGGACGGCUGACUACGUGCCCGCAGCCGCGGUAAUAC
rnacentral:rRNA from 1 species